rnacentral:lncRNA from 1 species
UCCUGCCACCAGUCUUGGAUCCUUGGUUUGUUCCCUGCAUGCUUGGCACUGGCCUUGCACAGUCCACAUGCUCAGUCAGGGGGGUGCCCUCACUCCUGACCUCGGAGGAGGAGUGGAGGAAGGAUGAGGGGAAGAGACCCUGGACAACGAGUCCCAUCAUUUUAGAGCAUCCUUCUUCUGGACAACAUGAAUAUGCACUAAGACAAAACCAUUUGGUCACUUAAAAGAUGGCCCCUUGGCACUUCAGGGGAGGCACUCUGGAAGGCUCCUGGCAUGUACAAGCUCUCUGCUGUCAGCAGGCGAAGCAGCCACCAUCCCAUCUGUCUCGGAGGAAACCAAACCUGAGAUGACAGAUAGAUAUGAGGCUGAACCCCAAGUUUGCUCCUUCUCCUCCAGCUCCCCUUCCUUCAUACUGCAAAUCUGCAUAUUUCUAUCUCUCCAUAGAAUACCCAGCUAUGCCUUUUGCCAGAAACAAAAAAGUGCAUGCGCUGACACUGCCCACAGGAAUUGGUUGGUUUUCUCUCAGCUAAAAUGCUGCCAACAGAGAGCAAAUAUUAGGAUUCCUAAAACUCAGAGCUCUCAGGAAGAUGGGGAAGCAGCCCAAAAUG